AAAAAAUCUAUACAAAUGCAAGGCCCUCAAUAUGACUUAAGACAGAGAAUCUCCAGAGUUUAAAUAACGGGGUUACUACGAGAAACUGUGACGGAGGAAGUUGUUAUCGCUAAUGGCUCUGAAGGUUGUUAACGUUAAUGGAUUAGAACUGGAGGCGUGUUAAACUCAGUGCUUUCAGGUAGCAGGGGAAUUAAAUAAAAGGUUUUCUAGGCUCUGGCUGGAAUUUCAGAGUUCAAAUCACAUUAAUACUAUUUGAUCAAAUCUACUGAAAGAACAAUCCAAGCACAAAUCCUGUCGUUGCCCUCAGCCCCCAGGAUUCACUGGCUGGUUGACUCAUCUUACCUGU
rnacentral:lncRNA from 1 species